UUGAAUGGGGUUGUUAGUUUUUUUUGUCUUUUUGAAAUUGAAGUCAAUAUGGUUAAGUUCAUUCACAAGUUUGAUUAAGAAAAAGUUUGAAAAUUCAUCGGCAUAAGGCCGAAGUUUCUAAUCAUUAAAACAUGUCUAAGUUAGAAAACACAAAAAAAGAAAGUUUUUGAAAAGAGGGAGAUAUUUUGAAAUUUAAGAAG
rnacentral:lncRNA from 1 species